rnacentral:rRNA from 1 species
GACAGAGGGUGCAAACGUUGUUCGGAAUUACUGGGCGUAAAGCGAGUGUAGGCGGUUUGGUAAGUCGGAUGUGAAAGCCCCGGGCUCAACCCGGGAAGUGCACUCGAUACUGCCAAGCUAGAGUAUCGGAGAGGUUGGUGGAAUUCUCGGUGUAGAGGUGAAAUUCGUAGAUAUCGAGAGGAACACCGGUGGCGAAGGCGGCCAACUGGACAAAUACUGACGCUGAGACUCGAAAGCGUGGGGAGCAAACAGG